rnacentral:misc_RNA from 1 species
AAAAAUGCUUCAGAUGAUGAUAGUCAUGAAGAAAAGCGAAGAGGAAAGCAGAAAAAAUCAAGGGAAAGGAAGAGGAGGAAGAAAAAAUACGACACGUCCGAUUCAGAUAGUUCUUCUGAUUCAGACUUAGACUCUGACUCUGAGAGUGUUUCUGACACAGAUUUGUCGUCGUCAUCAUCUUCUUCUGAAAGUUCUUCCAGUGAUGACAGGUCUAGAAAGAGAAAGAGGACUUCUAAGAGAGGCAGAUAUAGGCGUGGGAGAAAA